rnacentral:rRNA from 1 species
UGAAUACGAGAUGCUACGGCGUCGAAGCAGUGUAUGUCAGACUUCCAAGAAAAGCUCGCAAUGUCAUAAAUAAAGAAUGCCUGUACCAUAACCGACACAGGUGGGUAGGUAGAGUAUACUAAGGGGCGCGAGAUAACUCUCUCUAAGGAACUCGGCAAAAUAACUCCGUAACUUCGGGAGAAGGAGUGCCUUCUUUAAGAAGGUUGCAAUAACAAGAUCCAAGCAACUGUUUAUCAAAAACACAGGUCUCCGCUAAGUCGUAAGACGAUGUAUGGGGGCUGACGCCUGCCCAGUGCCAGAAGGUUAAAGAAGUUGGUUAGCUUUUGCGAAGCUGAUGACUGAAGCCCUAGUGAACGGCGGCCGUAACAAUAACGGUCCUAAGGUAGCGAAAUUCCUUGUCGGGUAAGUUCCGACCCGCACGAAAGGCGUAAUGAUUUGGAUACUGUCUCGGAGAGGGACUCGGUGAAAUAGACUUGUCUGUGAAGAUGCGGACUACCUGCACCAGGACAGAAAGACCCUAUGAAGCUUUACUGUAACUUGAAAUUGAAAUUGGACUUUAUUUGCGCAGUAUAGGUGGAAGGCGUUGAAAGUAAUCUUGCGGGAUUAGUGGAGCCAUCAGUGAGAUACCACUCCUAUAAUGUUAGAUUUCUAACUUUGGAUCAUGAUCUGGUCAAAGAACAGUUUCAGGCGGGCAGUUUGACUGGGGCGGUCGCCUCCCAAAUGGUAACGGAGGCGUACAAAGGUUUCCUCUGAACGGGUAGAAAUCGUAUCUAGAGUGUAAAGGCAUAAGGAAGCUUGACUGUGUGACCUACAAGUCGAGCAGGGACGAAAGUCGGUCUUAGUGAUCUGACGGUGCUGAGUGGAAAGGCCGUCACUCAACGGAUAAAAGUUACUCUAGGAUAACAGGCUGAUCUCCCCCAAGAGUUCACAUCGACGGGGAGGUUUGGCACCUCGAUGUCGGCUCAUCGCAUCCUGGGGCGGUAGUACGUCCCAAGGGUUGGGCUGUUCGCCCAUGAAAGCGGUACGCGAGCUGGGUUCAGAACGUCGUGAGACAGUUCGGUCCAUAUCCGGUGUAGGCGUUAGAAUAUUGAGAGGAGCCUUCUUUAGUACGAGAGGACCGAGAAGGACAUACCUCUGGUGUACCAGUUAUCGUGCCAACGGUAAACGCUGGGUAGCUAUGUAUGGAGAGGAUAACCGCUGAAAGCAUCUAAGUGGGAAGCCCACCUCAAGAUGAGUAUUCUCA